UACGGGGGGGGCAAGCGUUGUUCGGAAUUACUGGGCGUAAAGGGCGCGUAGGCGGUGCUCUAAGUUAGAUGUGAAAGCCCUGGGCUCAACCCAGGAAGUGCAUUCGAAACUGGCGAGCUUGAAUAUGGAAGAGGGUCGCGGAAUUCCCGGUGUAGAGGUGAAAUUCGUAGAUAUCGGGAGGAACACCAGUGGCGAAGGCGGCGACCUGGGCCAAUAGU
rnacentral:rRNA from 1 species